GCUGGGAUAGCUCAGGUGGUAGAGCAUAAGACGCUUCCUCUCAAGGUUGUGGGUUCGAGCCCCACGUUGGGCA